AGGACACGAUUUAUAUUCUUUACUUUACAAUUUCCUGGAUGAAAUAAUUUUUAUAUUUUCCUGCGGUCAAUAUUUUGUCGCAAAUGAUAUAAAUAUUACUCAAUUUGGUCAAAAUUGUGAUGGAGGAUGGUCUUUGGAAUGUAGAUUAAAAGGAGAGGAGUUUGAUUUGAAUAAACACGAACAAGU